AGGACUAAUAGUGAAACUUGAGAGUGAUCACAUAUGGAGAUGAAAGAUUGAAAGACCUCUCGCUGAACAUAAUAUAGAAGGUCUAAAAUACUCUCAAGUCCCCUCCAUCUCAAAAUGACAGCAGUAACAGUGAAAACUAAACAUAGCUGUACCAAGGGCCUGUGUAUCUUACUUCGCCCUCCUUGUGAGUUGCCACUUCCUGUUCAUCCUCCUAUCAACGUGAUAUAAACACCAAAAUAGACCAAAGUAAUUAUCUGGGGAAUGUCCAGAGGGUGUUUACCUUCAGAAAAUUAACAGCUUUGAGACUAAAUCGAUGACCCAGCAAGAAGGUUCUCAUCAGUGGCUGACCAGAUGCCAGAAACAUGCCAUUGGAGUGCCCAGCCUUCAGAACA
rnacentral:lncRNA from 1 species